GAAAGACAUUUCCAUAUUUUGUAAUUGACAUUUUCUGUGCCAUUUUCUUCUUUCUAGGGGUCAGAUGGUGACUCCUAGCCUAUCCCCUCCUACCUACCCCAGUGACUCUGUGGCAUCAGGGUAAAGAGCUUUUGUGAGAAGUCAUUCUUUAAAGUCAAUGAGCUCCCACAGACCUGGAAAAAAUAUUUUGGUAUUAUUUGUUCCAGUUUUUAUUUCUUUACCCUCACUCCUAGGUGUUUUAUUAAUUCUUUGGUUUUCCUGUCUCCUUUGCCAGCAGUUUCUGUAGGCUGCAUUUUUGUUGUGUAGUUUUGGUUUUUUUGGGAGGGUUUUUUGUUUUUUUGUUGUUUUUUUUUUUUUUUCUCCUUCAGUGCAAAGCAGCAUGAUUCAUUGUAUUUCCUUCUUAGUGAUCUCUCCUGGUUCCUCACCCCAUGUUCUCCACUGAUCAGACCCAUUGGUGAUUAGAUGCUCAGCAGAAGUGAUUUUGCAGCCUUUGACACCUUGCAUCCCCUGCUGCCUGGAUUUCAAAGAGAGCUUGAAGUAUCUUGAUUCUUCUGCGAGGGAAAAAAGGACACAUGCACUGAAACCAUAAUGAUUUUACCAGACGUUCACAGUACUUUCACCUGAAAUGGUAUCAGAUAGUGCCUCUGUAUCACAUCUCUAAUACCUUUUGAAAUGAAAUCUUCGGCUCCUAUUCAGAGAUCCCCCUUUUGUUCACUCAAAGCCAAGGGGACAGUCAGUGAGCUGGGGAGGUGGUUCAGGUCAGUACUGUCCCUUUUAACUCCUUGUGCACCACAGCAGCGAGCGUGGGGCGCCUCUGCCGGACAGGGAUUCCCAAAGGACCUGGGUGCAGACAGUGAGGCUGUUCCCAGUGCUAGCUGUGAACAACUGAACACAGAGAGAUAGAAAAACAACUUCUGGAUUACCUCAAGUGCGCUGGCAACAUAAGUAGCAACAGACUUCCAGAUGAAGAAGCCUAUGUGGAACAUGUAAAAUGGUAAGCAAAACUUGUGUGCUGAGUCUUAUGAAAAGUGUAAGAAAAGGAAAUUCUGCAGCUUGGGUUCCAACAUUCAUGUUUACUUUUAAAUCUAAAUGUGACCAGAC
rnacentral:lncRNA from 1 species